AUGGACCCUGACGGCGACGCGCGGCAUCAGCAGCGGCGGCGGCGACCGGAGGAGGAGGGCCCGGCGGUGUCGCUCCGGCCGCUGGGCCUGGCGGACGUGGACGACUUCAUGGCGUGGGCGUCGGACGAGCGCGUGAUGCGCCACCUGAAGCGCCCCCUGUGCGCGACGAGGGAGCAGGCCGUGGCGCAGAUCAGGGACACCGUGCUCGGCCACCCGUGGUUCCGCGCCGUCUGCGUGGCGGGGCGCCCCGUGGGGCAGGUGUCCGUGUGGCCCUACCCGGACGACGGCGGCCACCGGGCCAACCUCGGCUACGCGCUGGCGCACCGCCACUGGGGCCGCGGCAUCGCCUCCGCCGCCAUCAGGAUGGUGGUGGGGAGGGUGUUCGAGGAGCUGCCGGGGCUGGGGAGGCUGGAGGCGGUGACGGACGUCGGGAACGCGAGGUCGCAGAGGGCGCUGGAGAAGGCCGGGUUCCAGAGGGAAGGGGUGCUGCGCAGCUACAUCGUCCGCCCCGGCGCCGGCGACGGCGAGGCCAGGGACGCGGCGGUGUACAGCUUCUUGUCCUCCGACCCUCGUCCUCCGCUCGCGUGA
rnacentral:rRNA from 1 species